GCGGUAUUAAAGUAUAAAAUGUGCUCCAGAACCGUUCUUACUCAGUAGUGUACAAACAGUAUCGGCAACAUGUUGUGUGGUUUUAUCUUCGCUUCUCUGCUUAUCUCGGCCAUGGGCUCUCCCGGAGUUCAAGCUAAAGAAAACGAAGAACUACCAUCAUCUCCUAAUAGCAACCUUGGCGUAAUACUUGGAGCAUUAACAGUACAAAGAAACAAUAGAUUAAUCACUGGUCCCAACGAUAAAAACGUGUAUGGAUCCAUAGUUACAAUGGAUAACACAUUUGAUGCUGCUAAUCCUUCAAAGAGACGAAGCCUUACUGCUAUUGCACCGGGCGGUCCUCGACAAGAUGGUCUUGCCUUUACAUGGUUUGGAGACGAUCUUCAUAAUAUCCCACAGACAGGAAACAACGGAGUUUUCAUUGGUGCGGUCACAGUCCAAGAUGGCAAUACGUAUACCGGUGACUUUGGUGGGACAAACCAGUUCGGAUCGGUUGUUGAACAAUCAGGCAAUGUUUUCUAUGGGACUCCCUCAAAUGGUAAUGUUCACUUUGGAGCCGUCACUGUUCAAAGGAAUAACCAUU